rnacentral:lncRNA from 1 species
GAUGGUGCGACUGAGCCGGGCGACUAAUUAACCGGGCCAUGAUGGCGUUUCAAUGGUUUUGAGCCACUAAUUAACCGGGCAUGAUUAAUUGGUUCUAUAUGGCAUCUUUUGAAUUUUUGAGCUGACCCACUACAAAAAAAAAAGGAAAACUAACUACCCUUCCCACCUUCCCACUAAUCUCUCCCAUUAACCCACUAACCCACUAAAAAAAAAACUACCCACUUAUGCACUAACUAAAAAAGUCUAUAAAAGA